rnacentral:rRNA from 1 species
AUUGAACGCUGGCGGCAUGCCCAACACAUGCAAGUCGAACGGCAGCACGGGGGCAACCCUGGUGGCGAGUGGCGGACGGGUGAGGAAUGCAUAGGAAUCUGCCCAGUUGUGGGGGAUAACGUAGGGAAACUUACGCUAAUACCGCAUACGAUCUAAGGAUGAAAGCGGGGGAUUCGCAAGGACCUCGCGCGAUUGGAGCGGCUGAUAUCAGAUUAGGUUGUUGGUGAGGUAAAAGCUCACCAAGCCGACGAUCUGUAGCUGGUUUGAGAGAACGACCAGCCACACUGGGACUGAGACACGGCCCAGACUCCUACGGGAGGCAGCAGUGGGGAAUUUUGGACAAUGGGCGAAAGCCUGAUCCAGCAAUGCCGCGUGCAGGAAGAAGGCCUUCGGUUGUAACUAGCUUUGUACGGUAGCGAAAGAAUACUGCCUAACUAACGGUGGGCCGACUGACGGUACCGUAACGAAUAAGACACCGCGUAACUACGUGCCACGCAGCCG